ensembl:lncRNA
AGAACAUGCAGCAAUUAUAUAAGUGAAUAUCUUAAAUCCCAUCAGUAAUGGUAAUGCUGACUGUUUACUAUAAUUUAAAAAGUGUCAGAUAAAACCCAUAAGCAACAAUUAUAAUUUAUUCAUGUUUAAUGUAUUUACUGUUGCUGUAUAGGAUUCCCCACGGAGUGUAGCAAAGGAUUAAAAUGUGAAACUGGAUUAUAAAAAUCUAUAAAGAAUAUAAAGUCCCAUGGCAUCUUCUUAAAAAGGCCAAAGUAGAGUACAGUAGGUGAGAGGCCUCAUAUUUCCAUUACAGCUCUCUGAGCUUAAACUGAUGAUUAUUUUACAAAUAAAGUAAAAGAAUAAAUAUUUAAGUAAUUUAAAUCUAAAAAAAAAAACUUAAUUACUAAUUAAUUCAGUUCAUUUCCGUUCAUACAAUCAUGUAUAUCAUAUAUGUUAUCAUAUAAUUUAGUGAAUGCACUUGUACAACUCUUUAUGUUCAAGACUUUCUUCAGAGACUUUCCAGUCCCCUCGUGUUGUCACAGGGUUUUUUUCACUGGUCUUGUUUCUCCAGAUGUUCCCACCAUCCUGUCUCCAUGUCUCUCUAUCUCUCCCUCUCUCCCUUUUUUGCAUCUGCCUACUCUCUAAAUUUCCAUUUUCAGGGAUGAGAAACUAAACUUUCCAUGUCUUGCUGCCUGUUUCCUCAGUCAAAUGCAAGCAUAACUGUUGCCCAAAUCCCACCCCCUCCCUUCCCGCUAUAACUGAUGAGUAAGAGAAAUGUUCUCCCUGCAGACAAAUAUGUACCUAACUGUAGCAUUUCCUUACUUAGAAACAGUGCAAAGAUGGUGUGUGACCAAAAAAAAAAAAAAAAACCAACCAAAAAACAGGUAGAAAUAUUACCAAGAGCUAAAAAUCACAUUAGAUACUUUUUUCAUACCUCAGGUUUCAUUUGAUAUUUUAGUGAUAUGGUGACAAGCUGAAAAACUAAAGCUACCAAGGUCAAACUGGACCAUCAGCCUGCUCCAAAUAGUAUUGCUCUAUACCCAGAUCCACAGAUCCACAUACAAAUAGAUCUCUUAAAACAAAUAAAUAAUACACUAUGACAUUGCAAUCUUUCCACAGAUGUGCUGCUUAUUGAGCCACUUUCAAAAGCAGACUUAAACACAGGGACAUACAGUCAAGUUUACCAUUUCUACAACAAUGACAGCCUGGCCUAUGUGGCAUAACACUGAAAGACUACAAGAGCUGAAGUACGUUACAACAUGUCACUUAUAGUGCAACUGCUUCCAAAUAAUUCCUUCAUGCUCUCUCUGCAGUGACAUGCUGAUGCUCUCUCAAAUUCAACAAACACAUUAUUUUAAAAGGAUUUUUUACUUACAAUGAAACAGCAGAGAGGAAAAUGUGUUGGCGGUAAUUGGUACAGCUUCCCC